rnacentral:pre_miRNA from 1 species
AGGAGCAACAGCCCUAGUGGCGGGGCCAGCUCUGCAGCCCUAGAUUCAGCUCUGGCAGGAACUCCGGAGCUCUCUGUCUACAGGGCCUGGAGGCUCCGGGGCGGG